GUAGGAUGCAUCAAACUGGAGUGGAAACGACGCAGGUACCAGUGACAAUAGACAAAGGUUUUCGAGAAGAAGAGGCGGUUACAGAGUUUUAAGGUCUUUGCUCGGGUCCGUUUUUACCAAUUACCAAGCCAGUUUUAUAAUAAUUGUUCUGAGAACAAGGAGGAAUCCGUCGUGACUACACAUUGUCAAAGAAACUAUUUCGAAGCUCAAGAAUGUUCCGAAGAGUGACAUUGAAAAUAUGAUAAAAAAGUGGCUGCAGCACGCUAGUGAUCGAUUAAAAAAAGAUAACACAUAAUGUCUGCGAUUUUAAACAAUAUGUUAUAAAACAUAUACGUACAACUGUUCGAUACGCUAUUCACUUUGCUAUGCAUCAACUACUUAUUCGUCAUACAUUCACUAUUUACAAUACAGCUUCCUUCGCGGUGCGCGUUGUAAGGCGCGAUUCUUCCUCAAGAAGAAAUGAAUAUUACAUUUUCUGUCUCUAAUCUUAAUUAUAUCGGCAAUCGUGAACUAUAAGCGAAUAAUUUUCUCGCCCUCGAAAGAUCGUUUCGUUUUUAAUGUCUGCAGAUCGUUAAUCGGGAAAAGAAACAUCAGACGGAAAAAUAUCUCUUGUAUCUCCGUGAGAUAUGCAAAUUCAUAAAAAGUGGGCUAUCUAACACUGUAAAACAACUAUCGACCGGUACUUCAAUUGGUAAUCGGCUAGCUGAAGAUUCGAACCGUAGGAUUAAUCGUUGAAAUAUGCUUGACAGUUCGCUGUCAAACUCGCGCCUCGCGAAUAAUUUAGAAAAAUGUAAAAGUUCCGUAGCGCUACCAAAAAAUCACUCUUACAUAUCGAAAACGAAUAUAUUAUUAUUCGGUGAUACAUCUCUCUUUCUAGUACGCCUCUUUUGUCAAACACAAAAAUAUAAUCUGAUUUGGUAAGUCGGCGAUAUGCUUCGAUGCAUUAAGUUCAAUCGCUCUCUCGCUCUCUCUUUCUCUUUCUCUGUCAAAUUAAACUUAUACACGAGAUGGAUCGAAGAGUGAGACGUACAAGUAUGUGUAAGUAGUUGUAAUUUAUAAAAACACAUAUUUAAUGUGCAAUAAAAACCAAACAUAUUUUUA